UUGAAUCAAAUUCAGCAUAUACAUGUUUCUAAUCAAACAAUUUCCCUAAAUCAUUCAUCUAAUUCAUGAGAAAAACAAAUAGAAUAAUAUACAACUACUUUUCCAGAAAGGAAAUUAGAAAACUUGGAAUAGAAAAUAGAAGAAGUUGAAGAGGAUUUGGGACAUAGGGUUUAGAAGAGGAAGAGAGAGCGUCUGGUGGCUGCUGCUGUCCCAGCGGCGCUACUGCUGCGCUGUUGACGGCGGGAGUAGAGGCGGAAGCGGCUGGCUGCUCGCCGGAGCAGGGGGCGGCGGUCAGGAUGGUUGUCGUGGCCGCGAGGGAGAGAGGUUGGGGAGAGAGGAAGGCUGGGAAAGAAAGGGGUCAGGAAGAGGGAGAGGGAGGCUGGGAAGGAGAGGGAGACGUCGGGCGACGCCGCUGUCGGACGGCGGCGGCGGAAGACGAGGGAGGGAGAGACUGAGAGGGUGCGCUGGUG
rnacentral:lncRNA from 1 species